CGUCUCUGCAUCUCUCGGGUUCUUUCUCUCUCGCUCUCAUUCUUCAGUUCUUCCUUUGCUUCUCUCGAGUUCUUGCUCUCUCUCUCUUUUGUUGUGUGUGAUGGGUGAAAAUCUUUUGGCAUCCUGUAGAUUUAUUGAGUGGUGAAGGCUUCUCAAAAAAAUCAAAAUCGCUUUAACAUAGUUGAAGUGCAGUCAUUCAUCAGGCAAAGUUGAAACGUUCAAGGACAAGGUAGACGCCAUCCAUCGACAAGAUAUUUGCGGACUUGGUUGUUAAGCAUAUACAACUUGUGAAAGAGCAAAUUACUUUUAGUUGUUAUAAAGUAUUAGUUGUUGGAAAAAUGGAGCUACAACGUGAGGAUGGAACCUUUGACCAAAAAAAUAGUUGUAGAAAUAUUGAAUGUAAUUGUUAAAUAUUGAUAACAUUGCAUUUUGGUAGACUUUGAAAUCUAAAAUUAUUUUGAAAUGUAGUUAUAGCUUGUUGUU